GCCUACAGCCACACUGAACCAAACGCGCCGGAUCCUGUCUGAUCUCAGAAGCUAAGCGGUCCUGGGCUAGGCUAGUGCUUGGAUGGGAGACUGCCUGGGAAUUCCGGGUGCUGUAGGCU
rnacentral:rRNA from 1 species